rnacentral:lncRNA from 1 species
GGUUGAAGUAUGGUGUGGUGCCUUUUACAUAUUGUACUAUACCAACAUAUGGUUUAGCAUUUAGUUCCGGCAUGGCAAAGGUGAUAUUGGCUAUCUACAGUACAAUACUGAGGGGCCCACUGAAUACCGAUUUCUCAUUGAUAUGAUACAAUAUGCCUAGUAUGGACUGGUAAUACCUGGUAACUUCAACAUUUUCUUGGGGCUUCUAUGCAGUUUCAUUAGUCCACAUUUGCGGCAUAUCAUAGAAUAGAUGGUGGAUCGCUGGGCAGUUCUUGGAUCACAAUAUGUAAUGGAAAAAAGUUUCCAUUGAUGCAAGUCCAUGUUGAACUGCAACGGCACUAGAAGUGCAGAUCAAGUCAGAUCAUACAUUAUUUGCUAUAAAUGGAAACCUUGCGAAUGCUUGAUGGCAG